UCUGAAGGAUCGUCCGGCUGCCCAAUCAGAGCGCAGGGUGCGCGCCCGGAAGAUCGCUGCUGCAGCAGCAGAACAGAAGCAGCAGCACACGGGACCGAAAUGGCGUAGCGCGCAGUCCUCUGCUGCAGCAGCGGGGCCAGGCUCGCCGAUCAUCCCAGAGCCUGGCCCGUCGUUCUCCAACCGACGAGUAUGAUGGAGGUGACUUUUAGUUCCAGUUCACUUGCUUCGAAACCAGCACGAGAUCACCGGAGACGAACAGUGCCCUUCAUAUGUCAUAUCAAGAAGAGAAAGCAACAGUCCUGGAAGGAACUCAUGACCAGAUAAGAUCGUCAUGACUUUGUUCUUCAAGCUGCUCUCCAUCCCGAUAAGUUGACUUUCCCCCAGCGUUAUUUCAGGGAAGUGUUUGUUCAGCAUACCAACUGUCACUGGUCUAUGAAAAUAUCAUCUCUGCACUUUGGAGACGACAACUGAAGUUGUUUUUAUCCACGAAAGAACCAUAAACUCUUCAUGUGUCCAAAAAAGUUAAGUAACACACAAUUGUGCCACAGUAAAGAGACAUCAUCAUCUGGUCAUAUCUGUUAUAAAUAAAUCCAGUGGGGUAUUUAUAUGUUGCAGGUUGUUAAAAAGAAGUGAAAAAGGAAAUGGUGAAAGUGCACUUGCUUUGCAAGUAAAACAAAUGGGUAUUUAAAAAUGAAAUCAUGCAGGCAAGACAAAGUAGCUUCAUCCAACAGUUUUAUUAUAUGCAGAUUAAGUGCCUAGACUUAGUCUUUUAUUAAGAACAUGUCUGAAAGUUUCAUUUCUGAGACAAUAAACUGUAGACAGAUGUUCUUUUGAUUCAGAACUCAUAUUGGUGUUUUCGUAAAACCAUGAACCAUGCUUUCAUUUUUUCCAUGAUCACUUGACAAACCAAGACGGACAGUGUGGCACACUGACCCGUGCAUAAGCUUUAUAAAUUCCACAGUUAAACUUUCUUGUGGGAGUGUGGUGCUAAUGAGAUGCAGGACAUAAUGAAUUAGAAUUAUUUUACUACCUCAGAAGUUACUACAGCUCAGACCCACACAGCAAACACUCUGAUCAACCUAUAUUCACAUGCUUGUCUUACAGUAAUGUCAAACGAGUCAUUGUUUGUCAAAUGGUUUGGGGAUAAUUUGAAAGAGGAGUAAGCAUGAUUCUUUUCACUUCUUGUACAUUAGUUUAUUAAUAGGUUUGGGAAUAUCACACAAAUCAUAAAGAGACCUUGUAGUUCACUGGUUUGUACACUGGCGGCCGAAAGUUUGGAAUAAUUAAGGUUUUUUUUAACUAUUUUUGAAAAGAAUAUUAGAAAAUCUUAAAAUAACUGGUUUCUAUUUGAAUAAAAAAAUGAAAUAAUAAUUUAUUAAUGUGAUGGCAAAGCUGAAUUUUCACCAGGCAUUACUUGGUGUCACAUUAUCCUUCAUUAUUGUUAUCAUUGUUUAAGAUUUUUGUGGAGAUCAUGAGAUAUUAUAUAUUAUAAUAUAAAUUAUUUGAGUAAUAGAAAGUUAACUGAACAGCAUUUAUUAGAAAUAAUUUUUUUUGUAACAUUAGUGUCUUUAUUGUCACUUUUGAUAUUUUCUUUUUUUAAUCUUACUUAUCCUAGCUUUUAAAUUAAAGGAGUCAUAUGAUGCGAUUUCAAAUUUUCCUUUCUCUUUGUAGUGUUACAACCUCUUGGUGAAUGUAGAUCUGUUAAGUUGCAAAGACUAAAGUCUCAAAUCCAAAGAGAUAUUGUUUAUCAAAGUUAAGACUCUGCCACGCCACCCUUAAAACGGCUCAUUCAUGUCACUUUGUGGGAAUAUUUGUGUAAUGCUGCCCAAAUGUUCUCAUAAAGAAGGCGUGGUUUCAGUAACUGUAGUCAGUGUUGAAUCAGCCAUGCCAGGGAGAUGCUGUGUGUAUCUAGGCGAAAGGAAAAGCACUUUAUUUGGCCUUCUGAAAGUAGAUGCAUUUAGGAAUCUUUAAGAUUUGCUGAUUUGAGAAAAUUCUGACUUUGCUACGACAAUCUAACCAUGGCUUGUGUACUGCAAACACAUACAUGAUUCAUCACUGUAUCUGCCACAUGACGCGAUUAUGGAAAGGGGCCUUACAUUUCCAACGAGUGCUUGCAGAAGGAGGGACUUUGUAGAAAACGGCGUGUUUGAGAGAGGCGGGGCAUAGAGGACCUACAAUAAUCAGUACAAUAACAGUACUUAAAAAAGGAUGUCAACAUAUUCUGUUACACCAAAUACACAAAAUAAUGAUCUUUAAAAAAGCAUCAUAUGACCCCUUUAACUAAACAAGGACGUAUAUCAAAGUUUACAUAAAAAUAUCAGUGUUGAUAAAAAUAAGAAAUUCAAUUAAAUUCAGAUCAGCAUAUUAGAUUAUGUCCUGAAGGAUCAUGUGACACUGAAGACUGGAACAAUGUAUGCUGAAAACUGAGCUUUGCCAUUACUAGAAUAAAUUGCAUUUUGAAAUAUACUAAAAUAGAAAACAGUUAUUUAAAAUUGUAAUAAUAUUUUACAAUAGUACUGUUUUUACUAAUUAUUGGAUAAAAUAAAUGAAACCUUGGUGAGCAUAAAAAUGUUAAAUCAAAUACAUAAAAACACAUUUAAAAAAAAAUCAGAAUUAUUCCAAAGAUUUGGCUUCCAGUCUUUAUGUGUCCUACAUGUUUUCCAAGAGAGCAUGUAGAGUGAAAUAAACAUGUGAUUUUCAUCCAGUAACAUUCUCAUGGUUAUUAUCAUCAUUACACCUGAAGAAAGGCAGUAGAAUGGUUAAAUGUUAGAUCCUGGUAAGAACGUUUUGAAAUAGUUGUUAACAGUUUAGUAUGUUUUAAUGUAUCGCCUCAAAUAGUCUAUCAAAUGGAUUGGUAGAAUUAAGGGUCUCGUGUACAGAGUAUGAAUUUUCAUUAGAGAAGAAAGAGUAAUGAGGCCUCAGUGUGGGAAAUGUGCAAUAUUUGUUUCUUUCCUCUGUCUUGUUUUGAGAUGAAUAUGUAUAUUGUACAAACAAGUGACAAGUUGUUCGCAAAAACAACAAAAUCACCAAUGUCUUCCAUUAAAUGAUGUAUAGUUUCAUCCGCAUGCUUUAGGGUUGGCGGGAUUUGUAGUGCCAGCAUAAACAUGGCCAUGCAUGUACGGUAGCGAAUACUAGCGAUGCUUGCAGAGUUUAAUAGUUGUGGUGACAUUCAGUAUAUGCUAUAAUAAAGCUGUUUAGAAAAUAAAAUUAGGCCAAUAAUGAUUUUGUUAAUAACAAACCAUGGAUGCCGCAUCCACAUCUCGAUCGAUUUUAUUAAGAGAUCACUAGGUGAGUCAUUUUCACCUGUGCACUGCUGAGUUCAUUUUAGUUUUUAAUCAAUAAACAACAUUUAUUCACAGGUAAUCACUGUUAGUUAAUAAUAAUGUGUGGUAGCAUGCUGAGGAUUAGAAAAACGGCGGUUGGUAUUGACGUAUGGCUAUCUAUGCUGAAAUUCAUGUUUCAUAAGCACUGUGUGAGUUUGUCCUAGUUUGUACUGUGCAAAAUUAAGUUCUCGGCCCAGAAUAGUUGACUCAGAUCAAAAUGAAAGUCCCUAUUGGGCAGGAAAUAUGGCUUGGUGACUUAGAAGAUAUUACAGGUGUUGAAGUGAGGGGUUUCAUUUGAUACCCGUUUUGAGAUUAUUAGUUAUUACAGAAACAAAAUGGUAGAUCUUGAAAUAUUAUUUGGUCUGUAAUAAUCAGACACAAAGAAGGCUCGGUAUUCUCAUCCUGAUUAGAAAGGGUAACCUAGAACUGUGUUUGUAUUCAUACCUCUAAUAUUGCAUUCUCCAUCAGGUUAUGUUGUCUCAGACUAGAGCUGUGGGUAGAUUAUUCCUAGUAGCAGAAACUCUAGAUUUUCAAGUAACGUAGUAUAUUAAGUGACAAAGCAAUUAUCAAAGCAUUGUAAUGUAGAUAAAUACCUCAAUGACUGGAAUGCAAACUAUAUUUUUUACAUAUACUCAAAGAUAUGCAAGCCAUUAUGUGUAUUAAGUUCAAAGUUUAGAAGCAAUAAUCAGUUUAUGCAUGAAUUAUAGUGUUGGAAUAGUUCAGUAGUGUUUGUGAAAUAGAAAUCUGUAGCAUAUUUGUGACAGUGGUAAGUGUCUGAUCCAGAGCAUCCCAUUGCUCAUAUUUCGUAGGACAGAACUAGCUCUCAACAGCCCCAUUAUUCAUUGACACCAAAUAAAUAUAUGAAGGUAGCACCAAGGGUCUGGCAAAUUUUAAAGAGCUUUUAUAUUUUGGACAGGUGGAAGUUAGUUGAUAGGUAGUAAGUAUAUAUAUGCAGGGCUUAUGCCCUUCUGUUGACUUUGCAUGUCUGCAUACAAACCAUUGUGGAAUGCACAUAAGCUGUAUGUAUAUUUACAGCUUAUUUUCAUUAACGGCAAUAUGAGCAGUGUUUUGUAGCAGUUUGUGACACUCUGAUGAUUCAUUAUCUCAGUGAAUCUUGGGUAAACAAUAUAUCACAAAACUAAAAAGAUCCAUUGGGAAUUAACUGGUAUUUUUAAUAAGAGUGCAAAAAAACAUUUGCUGAUGCAUGGUAGAAAUGGAUAAGAAAUGUUUUGUGCUGCAUGCAAUAAUUAAACUUUGCUUGAACAUAUUUAUGCAGAAAUGUGAUAUCUAUGAGUGGACAAAUGUUGUCUUUUUCUUUUCAAAUGCAUGUAAUCCCAAAGGUUUAUCGCUAUUGGGAAUUAUUCGCAGAUGCGUUUUUUUAAAAACUUUUUUGGGUAUGUGUAUUGUAUUGAAAAUGUGACAAGUCUGUGUUUCAAGAGGCAAGAUACAGUAGGUUUUAGCAAAACCAACAACUGAGUUUAAAUGGGAUAAAAUGAGAAGUUAUUUUUUAUGUUCAAUGCAAAUAGAGUAGACCAUAAGUUUAUAUGCUUAGACCUGAUUUGUGUUGCUGAUUUUGCCUCUGAAUGUGAAACCCUAUGCUUAGUCUGAUCUAUGCACUGCAGAUGCACCCCGCAUGAUUUUGUACAAAAAAUAUAAAAAUUUUGCAAUAAAAAAGCAGCAUGGUGCCAAUCAUAAAAA